UUGGCUGCCGCUCGGAGGCGGUGGCUGCUGAGCGCGGCUCCGCGUCCCCCGAGAAAACCAGGGAGAAGGGAGCGAGGUCCGAACAUGGCGGCGAAUCGGAACUUGAAGCAAGUGCGGAUCGAGAACAGCUCCCCGGCGGCGCCGCUGGGGAUGGUGGGGGGCGGCGGCGGCGGCCUGAAGGGACUGCGGGGCCUAGAGACGGAGAACGAGGCGGCGGCCAUGGCGCUGGUGCCGGGCAAGGAGGGUGGGGAUGAGGAGCAGGAGGGUGGGUUCACCAUCGACAUCAAAAGCUUUCUCAAACCCGGCGAGAAGAGCUACACGCAGCGCUGCCGCCUCUUCGUGGGCAAUCUGCCCACCGACAUCACCGAGGAGGAUUUCAAGCGCCUCUUCGAGCGCUACGGGGAGCCCAGCGAGGUCUUCAUCAACCGGGACCGCGGCUUCGGCUUCAUCCGCCUGGAAUCUAGGACACUGGCUGAAAUAGCAAAAGCAGAACUUGAUGGUACUAUUUUGAAGAGCAGACCACUUCGAAUUCGAUUUGCUACACAUGGAGCUGCCCUAACGGUCAAGAAUCUUUCACCUGUGGUUUCUAAUGAGCUGCUGGAACAAGCAUUCUCUCAAUUUGGACCAGUGGAGAGAGCUGUUGUUGUAGUAGAUGAUCGCGGCAGAGCUACAGGAAAAGGUUUCGUGGAGUUUGCGGCAAAACCUCCAGCACGGAAAGCUCUAGAAAGAUGCAGUGAUGGUGCAUUCUUGCUAACAACAACACCUCGGCCUGUUGUUGUAGAGCCAAUGGAGCAAUUUGAUGAUGAAGAUGGGCUCCCCGAGAAGCUAAUGCAAAAAACACAACAAUAUCACAAGGAAAGAGAACAGCCUCCACGUUUUGCUCAACCUGGAACAUUUGAGUUUGAGUAUGCUUCACGUUGGAAGGCUCUUGAUGAGAUGGAAAAGCAACAGCGUGAACAGGUUGACAGGAACAUUAGAGAAGCCAAAGAGAAACUAGAGGCAGAAAUGGAAGCAGCUAGACAUGAGCAUCAGCUAAUGUUGAUGAGGCAAGAUCUCAUGCGGCGUCAAGAAGAAUUGAGACGUUUGGAAGAACUUCGGAAUCAAGAACUUCAGAAACGCAAACAGAUACAAUUGAGACAUGAAGAAGAGCACAGACGACGUGAAGAGGAGAUGCUACGCCAGAGGGAACAGGAAGAACUGAGACGACAGCAGGAGGGAGGAUUUAAGCCAAAUUUCAUGGACAACAGAGAACAGGAAAUGAGAAUGGGUGAUAUGGGUCCUCGUGGAGCAAUUAACAUGGGAGAUGCGUUUAGCCCAGCACCUGCUGGUAACCAAGGCCCUCCUCCAAUGAUGGGUAUGAAUAUGAACAACAGAGGAACUUUGCCUGGCCCUGCAAUGGGUCCUGGUCCUUCCAUGGGACCAGAAGGAGCUGCAAAUAUGGGAACACCAAUGAUGCCAGAUAAUGGAACGGUGUGGUUUCAUGGGCCGAACUGUGACACUAUAUAAUGUAAAAAAGAGCAGAAAUUGAAAUUUAUGAAUGGCAUUUAAGGAAAGACUGCAUGUACAAACCAAAAUCAUGCUGGAGGAAGAAGGAAGUUGAAAUAGGUAAAACUUAAUUUUCUGCUUCUUCUAGUAGAUAACUUCUGUCAUGAGUUUUUGAUGAGUUUCUGCUUUAAAACAAAUGGUGCAAGACCUAGGUUCUGCUGAUUUGCCUUGGUUGUGACCAAACAACAAGAAUAGUACUAUCAGGAUGUCCAUUAAUGAUUAACGUUAUCUUGCCACAGUGAUAAAUCUGAGGAAUAGAUAGUUGGUCAAUGCCUGAGGUGUUGUGUCAGCUGGUUGGAUAUGUAUGCUACUGCACAGCUGUUGUUGCUCUGCCAAUUCAAUCUGGUAGUGCCUUUAGUUACUGCAGCAGGUACUUUACCCACCUCAGUAAUGAAGCUUCUUCAUGGCCAUAUGGAUGCUUUUUGAAGUUUUCUGCCUCUUCAGCUUAGUGAAUUUCAUUUGCACAGUGGCAGCUGCUGCAGUUUGGGUGUUGAGCGUGCUAUGGUCAUGAAGUACUUCGCCCCAGCCGGAAUCCAUUUGACUUACACCUCUUCAGUAACUGCAGUUCACAUCCAAAUAAUACUUUUUAUGGAUUACAGAUGUGAAUUCUCAAUGAGGUGUAAUACAAAGCUAUUACACUUGUACUAUCAACAACGUAAAUUCCUUUGGUAGCUUAAGAUGUGCUAGAGAAAAUGAACCUGAAUGAUUAUUGUAGUCCAGUUCUCUAAUUAUGUAAUAAAAAUGUGAAGUCCUGGUUCUACUUCUGUGUCCAGGUGCUGUUUUCAUCUUUCAAACUUGGAUAUCUGCAUUUAUUCUAGUUUACACACUUCUACACAAACUAGAAUCACUCAAAUGUAUGCAUAAGUAUGCCACUAGGCGCAGUCAGCUGUCAGAUGCUGAUCAGAUGAAAGAGUUUGUAGAGUUUGAAAUAGAAGUUAACUGAAAUAGAUCUUAAAUAACAUGGAAAGAAAGUUUUGAGAAGGCCAGAACAAGGUGGAGCAGAACAGAAGAGCUAAAUAUGAGCUCUUUUGAUGCUGAUCCACAAAAAAAACAAUAGAUGAAUCUGAUGGUUGGUACACCGAGUUUUGGGUUGAAAUGUGGACCUUGAUGGAGAAACCGCUGUUUGCUUGUGUGGAGGUUCUUUUCAAAAAAUAGCAAAUGAUACUUGCAGCAUUAGAGGGAUUAUUUUUGAUUGUAUACAUCAAAAAUGGAGAACAGGUGAUGAAGUAACUUCCGUGUUUUAGGCUACGUUCAUACACUUUUUUUAUUAACAUGUUGAUAUUUUUGAAUUUGUUACUUGACAUACUUUUGAUAACUGAUUUUAAACACGUGAAAAUUACAGUAGGAGCUUACAUCUUGAAAUCUGAACCAACUCCAGUGAGAAAUAAGUCAGUCUGUCUUGGAUUCAAAACAUUUUCAUCUUGAGUACGAUGCCAUCUGACCUACCUUUGUAUGUAAGUUGGUAACAAAAGGAAGUUCCCUGUUCCUUCUAUGUUCUUGGCUUAGUCCUGAUCAAACAUGGUUUCAUUAAUAAAGGCUUUUAGACUUCAUCGUUUUCAAAUGGAGAAAGUUUUAGCUGACUGGGUUGUCAUUUUAAGGGGUGGUGGGAGAGGAUGGGUUAAUUUAAAUACUAUUCCUAAAACAUACUGAAAUGCGUUGGGUAGUUAAAUCUGUCACUCAGAAUUACUGCUAAUAUCGUGCUCUUUUCUUCACUAUGUGUUAAAGCUAUCUUCCUAGCUUUAUAUGAGAUACAAGACUUAAUGCUUUUUUUGAUUUUUUCAGUUAACUGUUCCACUUUGGGUAGAAACAAUAACUUCAUCCUACAGGUAGAAGCUACCCUAUUAAAAUAAGACAAAUAAGGUAGUAGUAGAAAGUUAAGAAACGUUAGCAUAGCAUCCAGUAAGGUAUGUCCAAUUGUGCGAUUAAGGGCCAGCUUGCCAGAUGAUAAAGGUUGCUUAGCAGUCACAAGUUGAGAAUCUCUGCUCUUUGGUUUUAUAAGGUGGAGUUCACCGUAUGUUCUGCAUUAAUUUUUUUCAUGGAUUCCUUCUUGUGACUAUGCACAGCUUUCAACCCAGGUCUGAACAGUAAUCUGUUUCAGCUGGACAAGUGCUGGCAAGGGCUAGUAGUAUUGUAUUGAAAGAGGGAAGUAAAUGCCUCCACAAAACAUAAUUUUUCAUGAGAAAUGUUACCUUUAUUUAACAUUGGUGUGUGUUUUUAUAAGAAGGUAAGUCUUCAGUGGAGUAAAAGGAUGUUUGCAGGAUACCUUGAAAUUUGUUAAUGCUGUCUUGUCAUCUUUACCUUGACAUACAGAUUUCAUUUUCUGUGUAGUUCAAAUCUAGUGUAAGAUUCUAAUUUUUUUUCCACCAAGUAUGGCUAUAUUGCAAUGGAAGAUAGAAGUAGCUCUUCUUUCUUUGUCGUGAUGAAGCAAAUGGAAAUAAAAAUUGUCACCCGGCAGAGUUAAAAGCACAGGAAGGAAAUUUCUUAAUUGCACGAAGUCUUUUGAUAGAUCAGCAGGCAGUGGGCACAAACUGACACACAGGAGGUUCCCUCUGAACACCAGGAGCACUGGCACAGGCUGCCCAGGGUGCACCCUGCUCUGGGUGUCCCUGCUGGAGCAGGGCUUGGGCAGAGGGACCCAGAGGUCCGUGCCAGCCUUAAGGCUUUGAUGUAAAGCCUUGCUUUUCUUGGUCUAUAUGAAUUAACAUAAAAAGCCUGUUAUAUUAUAUAGCUGCUUGAAUACUUCUUUACUAGGUUUCUUUUUAAUACAAAAGCGUACAUCACUUAGUAUUCCUGCAUUACCUUCUCAAGUGGAGUGCUUCAAAGAUGAAAGUUCUUUGAGAAGCUUGAAUUGCAGGUCUAUAAAGACUGUACAAGUGCAGCCCGCCCUUCCCUUGCCCCCAGCACAGUCUUACGGCUCCAGAAGUUGUAGCCCCACAAAGAUAACUAAUUCUUCUCUCAUGAUUUUGGAAGAGGAAGUUAGGACACGGGCCUAACUUGGCACCUGCUGCGAAAAUGACAGGUAAGGAAUCUUACAGGAGGGAAGGGGGAACGUUGUGUAAAGUUGUAUAAUGCAGCAUUGCUGAUAUUUCACAAGUAAAUGCUCUGUAUAUCAGUUUCAUAAUUCUUUAGUGAUGCUGUCUUUUUUUUGUUUUGUUUUUAUGUUGAAGUUGGAUUAUGCAAAAAUCCAGGAAGCUUCCUUUGAAAAGAGAUUCCCUCUCUUGUUUUCUGAAGAUAUGAAAUAAACUGUUAAGAUCAUCACAUCCCAACUACGUGUGAAUAAAUAUGCAAAGCGUAUGCUGUUGUUCAGUCAUGUUAAAAUGAAAAAUGGCUCAUAGACUUUGACUGUACACAUCUUUUGUUUCUUCAAACAUUUUUAAAAUGAUUUGUAAAUCAGGCUUAGUCAACAUUGAUAAGACUACACAUUUUAGUCUCUAGUUUUUUUUAAGUGGCUAUCUCGGCAUAAUAGUAAUCUUACUUGAGCAGCGCAUAGUACAAUAUUGUCCUGACUUCUGGCUUUGUUGGAGUAGUAGGGUAAUACUGGCUGCACUCAAAUACAUGUUAGUUGUGCUGAUCUGACUGUAUCUAGUUUACAGCAGACACGAUUUGUUCCCAGCUCUGUACAUUACUGCGAUUGGCUGAAGUCACUCAGAGUUUCUAGAACUUAAUGCAAGUUCAUGACAUUUUAACAGUACCUUCAGUGCUGACAGAACUGUUCGGGAUGCUUUUGAUCUGUCAGGUUUCUUAACAUGUCUUUAUUAAUUGGUGAAAUCACAUCUGUAUCGCUUACUAGGUGAAAGAGAUGAUAAGAGUUAAAGUUGCUCCUUCCAGCAGUUUUGUACUUCUUAGCUGCUCAUGAUAAGGUAAAGUACGGUAAAGUGCUCAGGAACUUUGUUUUAAAAGUUGCACAAGUUCUGAAUGAAGAGAAUUGUGCUAUUGCUUGGACUCUUUUCCAAACCCCUCUGCUCGAACACUGUCAUUGAUAGUAGAAAUCUGGACAUCUGAGGACACUGGCUGCAUUAAUGAUGACGUGCAUAGAACAGAUAAUUGUGAAAACCGUUUUCUGAGGAGCCAGCUAUUCUGGUGCUUCAGAUUCCUCAGCUUGAGACAGGGGUGUUAGUGAGCAAUAUAGGGCUUGGGCCAGCAAGCCGAAGUGUGGGAUGGAGUUGCUGUUUCAUGUAAGAUUAUUUUAAUGAGUGUAUGACUACAGCCUCACGGAUAACUGCAUUUCAUAAAACCAUAAUGAAGUAUAAUGUAAUAUUACUUCAUGCAGUAGAAGUUUGUGAUGUUAAGAACUUAAGGACUUAGUUCCCUUCUGCUGAUCAAACACAAAGUUCUUUGAAAUAAUGAGGAAUCUUUAAAUUUUACCAAAAACUGGACUUGCCUUUCUUGUUAAUUGCUUAGUCUUACAUUUAGGGAUGUAAUGACUCUUUUUAAGAAGCUUACAGUGUACUCAUUUUGUUUUCAAAUUUAGGCUUUGCUUAAGCUGCGCAGAUGAAAUCUUUGUCCUUUUGAAGUGUUUUCAGACAUUUGUAAUUCUCCAAAUAUGGAAAAAACACUUUUAACUUAUGUGUGAGGUUUUGUUAUCUAGACCAAACAGGAAAAUAAAUAAAUGUCCCUUGAUUAUGGUGCUGUCAUCGAUAGUGCUAUAUUAUCUGUCAUGUAAAUGGUAGUAGAAACUAUUCUAGUAACUGCCACCACCUUUUCUUUUUGGAAACCUUACUCCAAAGAAGAACUUUCCUUAUUCUGUGUAAGAUGUUUACUUCAGAUACUUUGUAGUUUAUGAAUAAGAAAUAGCGAUAUAAAGUGCUUUUAGCAGUCAAGGAAAAUGAAUGGCUUGCUGGCUCGAUUCAAGUAGUAUUUUCCUUUUCUUUCCAGGAACUAAGUCUUCCUUCUGAGCCUUAAUUUGGUGAUACUCAGUUACUUGCUUCUAGCUGUCGGCAAGGAUAUGUUCAUAAGGAGCUUUUUGGGGACAUGAGAUUGGAAAAGAUGGCACUGGGUUCAUCUCCUGUGAUCGCUGGCAGCCAUGCAAUGAAGUCCAGUUAACGACUGGUUUACUCUUCAGUGGUUUUAUUGUUGUAAAUGCAUGCUUUUGUCCUCACCAGUAGCUGCUUGUGAUUAAGGAGGACCUGAAUGCAGCUCUGCGGAUCGCCCGUCUCAGGUUCCCUUUGGUAGCCCCCCAGAAAUGAGCACAAGGGAUUGCAUGUUAUCCUGAGAAAAGCUCGGAUCAGGAGUUCUUCCAUUCUGUGCUAUGGAUGGUGGCUGUGCUGCUCCCAGAAGGAUGCCUGUUCCUGCUGGGGCAAAAUGUCACAUAGCCCACGCCCGUCAAAGUUUACCUAUGCCACUGCUCUGUUUUGCUAGAUUACUGUUAAAAUGUUAAAAUGCAGAUGAAGAUGGGCUUCUGUACAAUCCUGCUGCUGCCUUAUGAAUACCAAAGGGAAUCCUAAACCAAGCUUUAGUACAAGGGUUCAAGGAAAGCUCGUGGUGGCUGUACACUGUACAGCCUCAUCCUUGAAGAUGGCUUUCUGCUGCAUUGCAGCUCUGCAAGUUCAUCUCUUCAAGCUUGAAAGACCGCUUGAGACAGUACCAGUAGCCCUGCAAGACCAGCAGGAAGCGAUGGGAAGUUUACCAGCACAGAAAUGGGGAGAAAAACAUCUGGUGGCAACUCCUUGCACAGGAAAGUCCUAACUGCAGGUAUUGGGAUGUUCAGCCUCCAGGGUUCAGCCUUUUAACAUUUCAUAUAGUACAGAUGAUGGCUGACAGCUUGGAUGUUUGCCUGGGGUCCUGCCUCCCUUUUUACUGAGUACUAGAAACAGAGUUUGUUUCUGGCUCUCCUGUACAAAUACUGCAAAAGGGGGCUCAUAAGGACUUCACAGUUGUAUGUGCUGGAACAGGAACCACACUAAAUCAUACAUUAAAAUACCACUUACAUGAUGGGGUUUGAAUUUAAAAACACCGAUUCCACCUGGCUCCAAGGAGGAUGAAAAUAGCAUUUGAUAAUAAAAUGUGACAAAACAGAAGUAACCAUGUUUUCCCACAUUUGAAGCAAAGACAGUGAAUUUGCGUUGAAGUUGCAGCACCGAGAUUAACACAGCACAGAAGCAUUGGUUACCUGACAGCUCUGAGCCUGCAACGUGAGGAAGCGUUACCAGAAAGAUCUGAAGUUGCUUUAAAAUUUCACCAUCUAUGCAGUUGAGUUGGAUGAUAAAAAAAACCCAAACAACCUGCAUUAAUGUAGCCCAAUAAAAAGAUUAAGAAGGAAAAAGUGAAUGAAACAGAAAAUGAAAAAUGCAUUUUUCUGGAUGUCAUGAGGUUUUAACACUGCAUUGUAACACAUCAGUGAUCUAACUGUGCUUUUUUCAGGGUUUCUGUUUCUAAUGAAAUUGUUUCAAAUAAAAUUCCUGUUACUCAUGUAUUAAUUUUGUUUCCUGAACUCAAAAGAGACAGUGAACGUGAACUGAGCAGCUGCCAGGAACCUCACAGACUUCAAAAAAGCCAAAAAGCAAAACCUUGUGGGCAUAGUAUAAUGGAAGGCAGUAGUGCAGCAACGGGGUGGGAACUGAGCUGAGGGUCCUGAUGGUCACAGGGUGAGGAUGGAGGUGUCCAGCCCCAUCCUUGGCUGUGGGACGCACAGCAGACCCCUGAGAAAGACACCGUGUCACCCAGCAAGCUCCAGCACCCCUCGGAAGCCAGGAACACAAGAACUGAGGCUGCAGUAGUGGAAGUGAAUGAGCUGAUGCCAUUAAUUGCUGCUGCAGAGUGAUCCCAGCUGCUCAGCCUUUCCAAUAAAAUAGCAGUAAGCAAAGAAAACAAGCAAGUAUGUUGAAAGUAUUUCUGCCCAGUGCCUGAAGUGAUUUUUGCUGUAGCUGUCUCUUUGCCCUUUGCAAAACCUUUACCCUCAGCAGUUGGAUAAAGAGGAUGUAGUAAAAUCAGACAGAAGCCAGCUUUGAACAUUCUUCACAUCUCUUCAGUAGGAAUCUAGAAUUUAUGUCACCAUCAGAAUAGGAAAAGGGCUGCUAAAUCCAUCCCUCCAUAACAUUAUGAACUCAGGUUUUCUUCCUCUUUUCUAUAAGACUCAGUCCCGCACCUCAAAUUUCCCAAGACAGGAAGAAGUAUUAAACCCAGCACAAGCCUAACAAACCACACCCACCCCCACCUCUGACAACUUACUUGCCCUGUCAACUCUUGGAGCAGCUUUUAGGUUACACUGUAGAGCAGUUUCUGAACUGCAUCUGGAUAAUUACUUGGACACCUGUUCAAAACCUGUUGGGCCCACCUGCACAGUGCUUGACCAGCCCAGCCCCCUAGCAGAGGUGCGCUGUACACACGCACCAUGCCCACUCCUAAGCUCACAAUGCAGGGACAGCUAAGGAAAUGGUAACCGUGUGAAAGCUGUCACUCCACCAUAAGGAAACACUGAAGAAUGAAUCACAUCCAUAGUGAUCUUCCACAACUCUUUCCUAAUACCUACUCUCUGAAAUUCAGAAGAAAACCACCAGCUGUCGGUGCGGACAACCCUGAUUCUCAGCCGCCGCUUUCUGUACACUGCAGUGUUUGUGCUCAGGAGAAUGAGGUAUCGCAGAUUUCAGAGAUGCAGGUAACAAAUCUGUCCCAAAUUCAGACUUGGUAACGCACCCAUCAAUCUGUUUGCAGAAAGACUGCUUGGAAUCAGUCACACCAGCAAUGAGCAUGUCGUGGUGCUGCUGUGUUUUACACAGAGAAUGUGACCAUCCACAAACCUGAGACAGAUAACUAGUGUGCUUCGUUGCUAAGAUUUGGCAUCUCUUACUGGAAAGUUUUAAACUUUCAAGAACCAAUACUUAAAAAGUGGUUAGCUGAAAGUUUUAAUAUAAAGUCACAGUUCUUAAAAGGAUACAACUGAGUGCUCACCGUUAAAAUGGUGCAAAUACAUUAUUUAUCCCCAAGAGUUUCAUAAGCAAUAUAGGCACAUAGUGUCAUGUAAAGUACUUAUGGCAACCAGAACAGCAAAGGCACAAUCUACUUUUUUCCUUUACUUUUCAAGAUGUCGUUUAAUUUACAAAGAAAAAUACUCUGUACUUCAGGCAGAAGUAUCACAUUUUUAUAUUAUAGCACAGAACCAUUACAGAACUGCUGUCAUCUGAUAAAAGGGGUCACCUUAACGAAAGAAAAAAAAAAAGAUAGCAGCUCUUUGCACACAGGAACCGAGUUUCUGAAUGAGAGGGCAGUUCCUGUUCUCGUUAGUCACGCUGAGAACAUCUGAACUCCUCUGUACCUUUUAGCCUAAGGAAGCACUGCCCACACAUCUCAGGUAGUCAGCAGGUUUUCUCGUUUGCUAGCUCCAGCUUUUUGUAUUUGUUUUCCCAUACGCCACUUGACUAACAACUCCAAAGCUAGGAUGCCUGUAAACUAUCAGUUGCUUCUCUAACACAAGAUUAGUCUUAAAGCACUGAUGUAACUGGAAAUCCGACUGCAGAGCUCUACCCAUUGAGCCUCUCUGGCCCUCUUUGUUCACACCCGCAGACUUAACCGCCUGUUGACAGGGAAUUGCUCCGGGCACUCCUGCUUUCCCACCAGGAGACAACUACAGCAGAGUUUCCAACCGGAACGUGGCCCCAGCGCUUCCUGGUUAAGCGACGCAGUGACUUUCAGCAGCUGGGACUGCUGCUCACAGCUCUGAGAAUACAACAGUUCUGCAUUUUACAUUGAAACAUUACAGUUAUUUGAUAAAAACAACCAGAAGCCAACACACAGUAAGAUCCCUACCUUCUGGCACGUUCUGUGGGGGUUUAUAGUUAAAUUCUGUGGAGAAGUCCGGCCCUUCGCAGAGACGGUGACAAGCAAUUGGGAAGACUGGCUCCAGCAACACAAGGCGAGCUUCAAAAUAGUCCCUGAUGGUAUCUUCUGCUACUCUUGAGAGUCUACAUGAGGAAACAAGCAAGGCGUGCACUUCACACAGAGUAAUUACUUCAGCAGACAGUCCUGAGCAAAGAAUGAUUCCAGAUUUCCCUUUCACAUUCCCAGUUGUCAGGACUUCAUCACCAACGUCUAUGCACAGAUGAGCCCCAGGUGCCAAUACUUUGUUAAUAAAACAUUUUAUCAGAGAAA